rnacentral:rRNA from 1 species
GAUGAACGCUGGCGGCGUGCCUAAUACAUGCAAGUCGAACGAGGCCCUUUGUAUUCGUACGAAGGUGUCCUAGUGGCGAACGGGUGAGUAACGCGUUGGUGACCUGCCCCGAAGUUUGGGAUAACCCUACGAAAGUGGGGCUAAUACCAAAUGUGGUCAUCGGAUUUAGAAACCGAUGUCUAAAGGAUUUAUUCGCUUCGGGAGGGGCCUGCGUCCCAUCAGCUAGUUGGUAGGGUAACGGCCUACCAAGGCUACGACGGGUAGGGGACCUCAGAGGGUGGCCCCCCACAAUGGAACUGAAACACGGUCCAUACACCUACGGGUGGCAGCAGUAGGGAAUAUUGCACAAUGGGCGAAAGCCUGAUGCAGCGACGCCGCGUGUGCGAAGAAGGCCUUCGGGUCGUAAAGCACUUUUCUGGGAGAUGAGAAAGGACAGUAUCCCAGGAAUAAGUCUCGGCUAACUACGUGCCAGCAGCCGCGGUAAAACGUAGGAGGCGAGCGUUAUCCGGAUUUACUGGGCGUAAAGCGCGUGUAGGCGGUUUGGUAAGCUGGGCGUGAAAGCUCCCGGCUCAACUGGGAGAGGUCGUCCAAGACUACCAGAC